rnacentral:rRNA from 1 species
GAGGAAUAUUGGACAAUGGGUGCAAGCCUGAUCCAGCCAUCCCGCGUGAAGGAAUAAGGACCUAUGGUUUGUAAACUUCUUUUGUACAGGGAUAAACCUAGAUACGAGUAUCUAGCUGAAGGUACUGUACGAAUAAGCACCGGCUAACUCCGUGCCAGCAGCCGCGGUAAUACGGAGGGUGCAAGCGUUAUCCGGAUUUAUUGGGUUUAAAGGGUCCGUAGGCGGACUGGUAAGUCAGCGGUGAAAUCUCAUAGCUUAACUAUGAAACUGCCGUUGAUACUGUCAGUCUUGAGUGUAGUUGAAGUAGCUGGAAUGAGUAGUGUAGCGGUGAAAUGCAUAGAUAUUACUCAGAACACCAAUUGCGAAGGCAGGUUACUAAGUUACAACUGACGCUGAUGGACGAAAGCGUGGGUAGCGAAC